rnacentral:sRNA from 1 species
GGGUCCCAGCGAGAAGGGAGGGUCCCAGCGAGGGGGCAGGGCCAGGGACUGGCCGAAGCACUGGAAGGCCAAGCUCAAGAGGAAUCCGGGGGACCUGUCACUCGUGACCAGCCUGGUCUCACACCUGCUCAGCCUUCCCGACCACCCGAUCGCGCAGCUCUUGAGGCGGCUGCAGUGC